AUUAAUUCAUAAUUAUGUAUAUUCUAACACUUUUACUAAAAUAAAUUAAUCUAUAUCUACGAAAUCUACACAUUUCUAUCUAUCUUGCGUUUCCUUUACGCAACUAUCGAAUGGAACAUUAAUAUUUGUCAAUUAUCCUAGAACCCUCCGAUGUGCGCGAUUCAUCGUUGAGACACGCAAGGGUCCACUUCCAAUGUGCGACAUAGAAAGCAAUUAUAAUUCUUCGUUCGUAUCGUCCACGUUAUAAUUGGGGUUCCGAUAAUGGACGGCCAAAGAAGAUUAGGAACAGAGACCGUUCACGUGGUCCACUUUUCCAGACAAAGAAAAUCUAACCUAGAAAUCAGAAAAAGUAUGAAGAGAAGAAAGAGACUGCUUGAAGGGAAAGAGGAAAGAAGAUCGCGUCAAGGGAAAAAAGAGGAAAGGAGAAAAGAAUACAGGUAGAGAGGGAAGUUGAGACAAGGAGAGAGACUCGUACGUAUAGUCUCGAUGACUUAUGUGGCUCUGACGCUAUCAGCAAAGCGUCUCUGGAGUCCAGUCCGAGCCUCGGAACAACGCUUCUCGUAAAUCAUCGCGAUCCACCCACACACCAGUAUCGCUCCUCUCACCGCAGAGAGUUCGAGCUUCAAGUUCGAGAUGCGAUAUAACAAUUAACGAGGUCAAAAGGGAGGAUGAAGUUUACUCACGAGCAACUAUUCUCCCUUUCUAUCAUUCUUUAUACAGAAUUAUCGUUUAUACUGAAUUUAUUAGCAACUGGAAACCUAUUAUAAUCAAAUCUUCUAUCAUUUCAUUUUAAGUUGAGAUAAAUUAGGUUAGGAUGGACGCUUCCAUAGUUUGGAAAGGGUUUGAAGCGAUUUAAAAGUAAGUAAGUUUAUCUUUUAUAAUAAAAUUUCGAGGUGAGUUUUAUAUUUAAUGAACAGAAAAUAUAAAAAUUACAUUUCGACUAAUAUUUAUUAAUUUUUAUUCAAAUAGGCCCCAAUCUUAACCUCUCAAACUUAACCUCUUCGAUCAGCAGAAACCACUAUACUGUACAAAAAAUUAGACGCAGAAAACAGUAUGAUUCUCAGAAGUCGGUUUGAAACGUAUCUCUGUCCUACAAAGGGAGACAUCGCACUACAGCUACGCGAUCAAACGAAAGCAAACUCGACUAAGCCAAGAAAAAGAAAAAGACCGUGGGGUCCUUUGAUUGUCGUCGGUGGCAGGGUGCACCCGUGGAGAUACAAAUGACAAUGAUACUACUGUAACCGAGCUACUGCGUUCACAGUUAUCAAGCGUUGUGAUCGUCGGGCUACUAAAGGCCUUCUUUUUUCGGCCGACAGUUGGCUAACUCCCACGCGAAAAAAAGCGUAGGCAGUGUAGCAUUUUUAUUAGGGCAAUUCGCCGGGUGCCCACGACCGCUCGUUGACGUUGCGAUAAUACGUUUUUUUUAAAUUUUUUUUCGAUCUUAUCCGAGCUGCCACCAGCUUAGCUCGUUUGGUUAUCGUUGAAGCGAUUUUGCUCUGUUCUUGCAUUAUUCUACUAUGCUAUACAAAUAUCUACAUGUACUAGGUCUAUCUCAAUAUCAAGAUUGUCAACCAUACUCGGUAUCGAAUGGUAGUCAUGAUUUUCGAUGCAACUAUACUGAAGACGCGUAAAUGCAACUUGUGGUCUUUGGGAAGCGUUGUAGUAUUGUACACUAAGAGAUGUCCUCAGGAUAAACAAGCAGGCUUUGUUCUACGCUUAUGAAUAAAACAUUCGAUAGUGCAUCUCCCGGAGCUAUACCUUGACUACUAUUUUUCACUCAUCUAAGCAUAAUAUAUUCGAAUUGAAAUCAAUAUCAACAACUAACGCUCCACCACUAGAAGAAAGAAACAAAAUCAACUUUCCAACUGGCCAUAAGAAUUCACAAGGUGUACAAGGCGAAACUCGCGUAGCGGAAGCUUUUAACGCCGUACUUUCCUUUCAGGAAAACGGGAACGAAGAGCUCCUGUGGAAAAAAAGCAACAAAGAAGAAGCAGAUGGUAUGAUACGGAGUCUGAAGGAACACGGUCGACUCCGUGAAGCUAGAAGAGAGAGCGUGGAGAGUGUCUCAAUGUCUCCCAGAAGACUGAACCUAAGCAAUUUGUGCUUUCAUUCGCACAAAGCUCGAGCGCCGAGGAAAAUGCCGGCGUAAAAGAGAAGUUAAAACUAUGCCGUCGUUCUUAUUACUGCCUGGAGCCACCCUGACCUAUCCUGGAUCCACCCCUCCCUCCCUCCCUCCCUCUCCCCCUCGUUUCUUCUUCCUUUCACUCGAGGAAGCUUCCCACCCUUUUUCUCCCCCUCUUUGCUGGCUCCAUCCACGGCUUCUUCCCUUUUAGUUGUAUCUCGCUCGAAUUAACGGCGCGAGUAACUUUCUUUCCGCUUACUUCGGGCUUGAUUAAAUAAUUUAUAAGCCAACACGGUGGAAUGUCGCGUUACAGAGGGGUGGAUGCUUCUUUCGCCUUUGCUGGAUUCUCUUCGUGAUCGUGGAUUGGGGUGGAUUGGAGUUUGCUGUUUUGCGACACGAUGUUUUUCGAGGGAGCGGUGGAAUGUAAACUUCAAAAUUAAGGGAUGGUGUUAGGAUUGGUACUUUCAAUUCCUUUUUUUUUUCUUCAAUCUUUUGAUAAAGAUUAUUUUGGAAAAAUGUAGAAAAACGAUAGAUUUAUGACGUUAUUUUUGGUGCAUUAUAUAAAAUUAUCCAAAAAUAUGAUACAAUUAUUAAAGGGAGAAGCAAAAAUAAAAACAAAAAUGGAAUGAUCUCAAAAAUCUGUAAACGAUGUUCAAUAUUAACGUGUUGUAAUACGAGAAACUUCUCGUACACAGGUUUAACGUUGGCAACGAGGAAUCAGGUAUUCCAAGCCGGGAGCAGGGAAUGGAUUACACGUGGAAAAUUAUUCUGGCAAGCGGCAUGUUUCAAACAAUGCCCGGUUCCUCGGAACACGACCCGGCGAUAAGCGGCUGCAACGUCGAAAAUCGUAGAUACAAUAACGUAAAUAAUCGUUAGGUAAACAAUAGAGUAGUUGUUGUUCGUUCCUGCAUUGUUUACGCGGCUUGUCAACUACAUCAUUACAUUUUUGAGAUUACCAAAGCUUUCAAACAAAUGCUUUAAAACGAAACAGAAUGAAAUCAUGAUUCAAAGCGACCACGAAAACCUGAAGUUAUUCGAAGGGGGCAUUCUUACGACUAACACUGGAAUAUGUCGAAUAUCUCGUGGCGGAGAGCAAAGAAAAAUCAAGGGGAUCGCGAGAAGCACUUUGAUUAAAGUAUGUCGCGCGGUUUCACUCGCGGCCCAGUUUGUUUCCCCUUAAAACGCAGAAGAGGAUGAAACUUUUCGUUCAGAAUGGAAUUUUGGAAUUGCGAAUGACAAGCGAGAACCCGCGAGGGUUGUUGCGGUCGUGGCUGACCUAUCUUUUGAUGUUUGCCUUUUAGAGGAAGAAAUCUCUGUUUAUUACAAAAUUGAGAUUCUUUUAAAUGUCAGAGAUAUUGUCAAUGUUUAAGGUUUAUUGGUAAUUUUAUUGAUCAGUGAAGU